AUGGCCUGGAACAUAACUGCAGAAGGUGAACCAGGUGAUGUCACAAAGGUCAUUGGAAAUUAAUUUGGUGUCAGUGCAUGAGAGAGACCAUCAGUUCCUUGAGAAGAGGUUCUGUGACAGAAUCUUCCUUGUGACCCUGGUUCAGUUCAGCAUGAAUUAGGGACGUCCAUCCCAGUGCCAGGGCCCGGUUUAGGCUCCUGGAGUACGAGAUCCAUUUCUUGGGCCCCAGGUGCUCAGAACUUACCACCCUCAGCUCCCUCUGUGUCCCUGUGCUGGGACCUGCAGGCUGACGUGGUGACACAGGGAACAAAUGGGACAGAGAACAGAACCUGCUUCGUGGGAUCGGGUGAGGACUGAAAUACCUUCAUGAAUCGCAAGCGCUUAGAGGAGUUUGGGAAAUACCAUUUCCAAGACAGGGCAGGAAGAGUCCCAGGAAAAACCCACACCCCUCCUCCAGCAGUUCAAGACAUGAUAAACCGACUCCCCGUAGCUGGGGUCCGCAGCGACAAACGGCUCCGUACCUUUUCCUGCCGUCAGGGAAGUGGCCUUGAUCAUAGGAAGGCUUCCCGUGAGCUGACUUUCAGUGUAGGCUGGGAAUGGCCGUGAACAUCUGAUACCUGAUGACCACCGCUGUCCUCCUUACUUCAGAGGAGAAGGGCAUUGACGUGCCCACUCUGCAGACAGGAACACUGAGGCUCAGCGGGAUAGAGCAACUUGCCAGCGCCGCUCUGACGACACCAUGAGACGGGAGUCGGGAUCUGGUUUGGGGACUGCUGAGCCCACACCCUCACCAACCCUGCUGGCAGGCUCUAAGGACGAUUGUUCCAAAAGAUGAUAAUCUCUCAGGGAAAAUGAGAGAUCCAGAGAACCACAUGCUUUCAGAAAAAACCAGCAGGGAAGCACCAUUCUUUGGACAAG